ACGGAAGGCAGCAGUGAGGAAUAUUGGUCAAUGGACGGAAGUCUGAACCAGCCAUGCCGCGUGCAGGAAGACGGCCCUAUGGGUUGUAAACUGCUUUUGUGGUGGAGCAAUAAGGCGUACGUGUACGCCGAUGAGAGUACAUCACGAAUAAGCAUCGGCUAACUCCGUGCCAGCAGCCGCGGUAAUACGGAGGAUGCAAGCGUUAUCCGGAUUUAUUGGGUUUAAAGGGUGCGUAGGCUGUGCAGCAAGUCAGAGGUGAAAGCCCGGUGCUUAACACCGGAACUGCCUUUGAUACUGUUGUGCUGGGAUACGGAUGCCGUGGGAGGAAUGAGUAGUGUAGCGGUGAAAUGCAUAGAUAUUACUCAGAACACCGAUUGCGAAGGCAUCUCACGAAUCCGUCAUUGACGCUGAGGCACGAAAGUGUGGGGAUCAAACAGGAUUAGAUACCCUGGUA
rnacentral:rRNA from 1 species